rnacentral:rRNA from 1 species
GACGAACCGUGCAAACGUUAUUCGGAAUCACUGGGCAUAAAGGGCGCGUAGGCGGCUUUCUAAGUCAGGGGUGAAAUCCGGCAGCUCAACUGUCGCAGUGCCUUUGAUACUGGAGAGCUCGAGGGAGGUAGGGGUCUGUGGAACUUCCGGUGGAGCGGUGAAAUGCAUUGAGAUCGGAAAGAACACCAACGGCGAAAGCACUCUGCUGGGCCGACACUGACACUGAGAGACGAAAGCUAGGGGAGCAAAUGGG